CUACGUGCCAGCAGCCGCGGUAAUACGUAGGGCGCGAGCGUUGUCCGGAAUUAUUGGGCGUAAAGAGCUUGUAGGCGGUUUGUCGCGUCUGCUGUGAAAGGCCGGGGCUUAACCCCGUGUAUUGCAGUGGGUACGGGCAGACUAGAGUGCAGUAGGGGAGACUGGAAUUCCUGGUGUAGCGGUGGAAUGCGCAGAUAUCAGGAGGAACACCGAUGGCGAAGGCAGGUCUCUGGGCUGUAACUGACGCUGAGAAGCGAAAGCAUGGGGAGCGAACAGGAUUAGAUACCCUGGUAGUCCAUGCCGUAAACGUUGGGCACUAGGUGUGGGGGACAUUCCACGUUUUCCGCGCCGUAGCUAACGCAUUAAGUGCCCCGCCUGGGGAGUACGGCCGCAAGGCUAAAACUCAAAGAAAUUGACGGGGGCCCGCACAAGCGGCGGAGCAUGCGGAUUAAUUCGAUGCAACGCGAAGAACCUUACCAAGGCUUGACAU
rnacentral:rRNA from 1 species